UCCCUUUUCAUAUUAGGUCUAAGAGAAAUUGCAACAGCUAGUUCUUGAGUUUGUAGACAAUGGAUUGUGUACAUCACCUCAACGAUAUAACCCUAAUAAGUGGUGAAAGAAUCUCUAUGCCAAUCUCAUGAACAUAACCCAUUUCACAACUUGUGGGUGAACUUUUGCAUCAAUGGUACCACAGGUCAUGCGUCCAUCUUGUGCUUCUGUCUGCAGGUAUCGUCUUCUUGUAUUUUUCCUUCUUUUCCACACAUUCAAAAUUGUUGCUAACAACCCAUUUGCUGGCUCAUCUUCAAUCUCUUCACAUGCACAUUUGGGUUUCGCCAUAUAAUGUAAUAACAAUAUAGCUAAUUAGAGCACCUUCCCCGUGCUGGAACACCUUCUUCAAG
rnacentral:misc_RNA from 1 species